rnacentral:lncRNA from 1 species
UUUUUUUUUUUUUUAAUUUAUUUUUUUGAGACAGAGUCUCACUCUGUUGCCCAGGCUGGAGUGCCAUGGUGUGAUCUGGGCUUACUGCCAUCUCUUGUCUUCCAGGUUCAAGUAAUUCUCCUGCCUCAGCCUCCCAGGUAGCUGAGAUUACAGGUGCCCACCACCAUGCCCGGCUAGUUUUUUUGUAUUUUUAGUAGAGAUGGGGUUUCGUCAUGUUGGCCAGGCUGGUCUUGAACUCCUGACCUCAGUUCAUCCACCCGCCUCAGCCUCCCAAAGUGCUGGGAUUACAGGCGUGAGCCACCACACCCAGCCUGAGCCCACCCUUUUGUGGGGAUUAAAUAAAGAUGAAACACUCAGAACAGUGCCUGGCACUUAGUAGGUGCUCAAUCAACAUUAGCUACAGUAAGUGCUAUGACCGCCUCUACAAGAGUGGGGGAAUGGCACAGUAGUUGCAUCCAUUUAGAAGAGGCAGAAGGAAGAGUGGGAUGUCAUGGGGCAGAGGUGAUGAAGGAGCUUCCCCGCCUUCUCAGUAGCCCACAGAACCAGUCCCCGAAGAGGAAGGAGUGCCAGCCAUAUCCCUGCUCUUCACCUGGGGGCCCCAAGAGGCUGUCUCCAAGACCCACCAUUCUUUUGUUAUGUCCUGUCCCCUCCGCAUGCUUGCAGCUGAUGAAGCUUUGGGAGGAGGAUUUCAGGUGGGAAGGACAGUUGUGGAGUGGUUAUUCUGGCUAAAACCGGGUUAACAUGUCGUCCUGGAGUAAUUCCUAGCUCUGGGAUUUUGGCAAAUUGCCUUUGGAGCCUCAGUUUCCUCGUCUGUAGAAUGGGGAGAAUCAUAGGACCACCUAGGGCUGUUGGAGGGAUGAUCUGCAUUCAUGUCUGGAGAGCACUAGGCAGAAUGUCUGGCACAUAAUGAAUGACAGCUAUAACUGUCCAUGUUAUUUGAUGCUUGAUGCUCCUCUCCAUUCCUGGCCUUAGGAUCUGUUGCUGUGUAGGUCAAGCUCUCCAAGGAGGAUUAAAUAAAGCACCUUUUCCUUGAACCCCUUCGCAUCUAUUUAUUUAUUUAGUUUUAGAGACUGAGUCUUGCUCUGCUGCCCAAGUUGGAGUGCAGUGGCACAAUUGUAGCUCACUUCAGUCUUAAAGUCAAGCGAUCCUCCGACCUCAACUUCCUGAGUAGCUGGGACUACAGGUGCUCACCUCUACACCCAGCUAAUUUUUUAAUUUUUUGUUGAGACGAGAUCUCGCUGUGUUGCCCAGGCUGGUCUCAAAUUCCUGGCCUCAAGUGAUCUUCCUGCCUCAGCCUCCCAAGUAGCUAGAACUUUAGGUGCACCCUACCACCCGCUUCUCAUCUAGACGGUCUCCUUCCAGAGAUCUCCACCUGUCAAAGUUUUGGAGAGUUUUGUGUUCUGGUAGGACAAAUGCUGACUUCAAGUGUGCCAGGGCAGGCUGGACACGGUUAAUCAAUCCUGUAU